rnacentral:rRNA from 1 species
UACGUAGGAGACGAGCGUUGUCCGGAGUUACUGGGCGUAAAGGGUGCGCAGGUGGCGGCGCGCGUGGGGGGUGAAAUCGCCCGGCUUAACUGGGCGGGGGCCUUCCAGACGGCGUGGCUUGAGCAGCGGAGGGGGACGUGGAAUUCCGGGUGGAGCGGUGAAAUGCGUAGAGAUCGGGAGGAACACCAGUGGCGAAGGCGGCCUUCUGGACCAAUACUGACGCUCAUGCACGAAAGCGUGGGGAGCAAACAGG